rnacentral:rRNA from 1 species
GACGAACGCUGGCGGCGUGCUUAACACAUGCAAGUCGAACGGAAAGGCCCUGCUUUUGUGGGGUGCUCGAGUGGCGAACGGGUGAGUAACACGUGAGUAACCUGCCCUUGACUUUGGGAUAACUUCAGGAAACUGGGGAUACUACCGGAUAGGUGCUCCUGCUGCAUGGUGGGGGUUGGAAAGUUUCGGUCGUUUUGGAUGUAUGGGCGGCUUAUGAGCUUGUUGGUGGGGUAGUGGCUUACCCAGCCAUCGACGGAUAGCCGGCCUGAGAGGGGGAACGGGGUCAUGAGGACUGAGAGAGGGCGCAGACGGGAACAGGGGACAAUGGUCGGGAAUAUUACACAGUGAGCCGGAGCCUGAUGAGGCGGCGUCGGGAGCGGAAUGACGGCCUAGGUGUGAUGAACCGCUGUAACCUGUGACGAAGCGGGAGUGACGGUAAUAACAGAAGAAGCACCGGCUAACUACGUG